rnacentral:rRNA from 1 species
UACAGAGGGGGCAAGCGUUGUUCGGAAUUACUGGGCGUAAAGGGCGCGUAGGCGGCCUUCUAAGUCGAACGUGAAAUCCCCGGGCUCAACCCGGGAACUGCGUCCGAGACUGGAAGGCUCGAAUCCGGGAGAGGGAUGUGGAAUUCCAGGUGUAGCGGUGAAAUGCGUAGAUAUCGGAAGGAACAUCAGUGGCGAAAAGCGGCUUCCAUGGACCAGCACCGACGGUU